rnacentral:rRNA from 1 species
UACGGAGGGGGCUAGCGUUGUUCGGAAUUACUGGGCGUAAAGCGCGCGUAGGCGGCUUUGCAAGUUGGAGGUGAAAGCCCGGAGCUUAACUCCGGAACUGCCUUUAAGACUGCAUCGCUAGAAUUGUGGAGAGGUGAGUGGAAUUCCGAGUGUAGAGGUGAAAUUCGUAGAUAUUCGGAAGAACACCAAUGGCGAAAGCGACUCACUGGACACAUAUUGACGCUGAGGUGCGAGAGCGUGGGGAGCAAACAGG